rnacentral:misc_RNA from 1 species
GAUGUAGAACGUAGCGAAAUGCGAUAAGUAAUGUGAAUUGCAGAAUUCAGUGAAUCAUCGAAUCUUUGAACGCACAUUGCGCCCGCCAGUAUUCUGGCGGGCAUGCCUGUCCGAGCGUCAUUUCAACCAUCAAGCCCCGGGCUUGUGUUGGGGACCUGCGUCCGACGCAGGCCCUGAAAACCAGUGGCGGGCUCGCUGUCCACACCGAGCGUAGUAACUAACCUCGCUAUGGAGUGGCGCGGGCGCCUGCCGUAAAACCCCCAAUUUCACAAGGUUGACCUCGGAUCAGGUAGGAAUACCCGCUGAACUUAAGCAUAUCAAUAAGCGGAGGA